rnacentral:lncRNA from 1 species
CGUGCUUCUACACCUGCAUUGCUUGCUGUUUGGGGUUUUAGGCUGGGUUUCUGUACAGCACUUUGAGAUAUCAGUUUAUGUAAGAAGGGCAAUAUAAAUACAUUUGAUUUGAUUUGAUUUGAUUAGUAGUAGUGGUAGUAGCAGCGGUAGUGGUAGUGGUAGUAGUGGUAGUGGUGGUAGCAGUAGUAGUAUCAGUAGUGGUAGUACUAGUAGUUGUAGCAGUAGUAGUAGUAGUAGUAGUAGUAGUUGUAGUAGUAGUAGUAGUGGUAGUGGUAGUGGUAGUGUUAGUAGCAGUAGUAGUAUCAGCAGCAGUAGCAGUAGUAGUAUCAGCAGCAGUAGCAGUAGCAGCAGCAGCAGUAGCAGUAGUAGUAGUAGUAGUAGCAUUAGCAGUAGUAGUAGUAGUAGUAGUAGUAUUACUAGUAGUAGUAGUAUUAGUAGUAGUAGUAGUAGUAGUAGUAGUAGUAGCGGUGGUGGUGGUAGUAGUAGUAGUAGUAGUAGUAGUAGUAGCGGUAGUAGUGGUAGUAGUAGUAUUAGUAGUAGUAGUAGUAGCGGUAGUAGUAAUAGUAGUAGUAGUAGUAGCGAUAGUAGUGGUAGUAGUAGUAGUAGUAGUAGCGGUAGUAGUAGUAGUAGUAGUAGUAGCGGUAGUAGUGGUAGUAGCAGUGUAACCGAUGUGAAAUGUUUAACAGGGUGUGCGCUAAUAGCGUUUCAAUCAGUGAUGUCACUCGCUCUGUCUAUGUGUGCAGAGGGUCCCUUGUUCGAGCCCAGGUAGGGGCGAGGAGAGGGACGGAAGCUAUACUGUUGCAGCAGUAGUGGUAGUAGUAGUAGUAGUAGUAGCAUUAUUAGUAGCGGUAGUAGCAGUAGUAGCAGUAUUAGCAGUAUUGGUAGUGGUAGUUGUAGCAGUGUUAGUAGCAGUAUUAAUGGUGGUAGCAGUAGACAGCAGCAGUAUAGACAGUAGCAGUAGUAGCAGUAGUAGCAGUAGCAGUAGUUGAAGUAGACAGUUGCAGUAGUAGU